rnacentral:rRNA from 1 species
UACGGAAGGCAGCAGUGGGGAAUAUUGCACAAUGGGCGAAAGCCUGAUGCAGCUAUGCCGCGUGUAUGAAGAAGGCCUUAGGGUUGUAAAGUACUUUCAUCGGGGAGGAAAAAACAAAACUAAUAAUUUUAUUUCUUGACGUUACCCGAAAAAGAAGCACCGGCUAACUCCGUGCCAGCAGCCGCGGUAAUACGGAGGGUGCUAGCGUUAAUCAGAAUUACUGGGCGUAAAGAGCACGUAGGUGGUUUUUUUAAAGUCAGAUGUGAAAUCCCUGGGCUUUAACCUAGGAACUGCAUUUUGAAACUGAAAUACUAGAGUAUCGUAGAGGGAGGUAGAAUUCUAGGUGUAGCGGUGAAAUGCGUAGAUAUCUGGAGGAAUACCUGUGGCGAAAGCGGCCUCCUAAACGAAUACUGACACUGAGGUGCGAAAGCGUGGGGAGCGAAACAGGGAUUAGAUACC